UUUGAGAUGGUGCGUCUAGACGACGAUAAUGGAGCAAAUCAAAACUUACAUAGUGAAAACAGAUUGGCUUUCACAGUAAGCAUGUGGAUUUCAGACAUGUGGUAGAAUUUUAGUGUGGAAAAUUCAAUCGAAAAGAUCAGAUAUCUAGAAAGUCUCCAAAGGCAGCUGUUGUCGCAGAUUGUGAACUCAUCUCUUAUAAAAGCAGGAUUUGCUUUUGUUUGUUUUCUUUCCAAAGUCUUUUGGUUACAAGUUUGGUGUAUUCUUAUGGCAGGCUUUUUGAUUCAAGAAGGAACAGCGACAACGCUUCUCCAAGGUUCCAUAUUUGUUCAUCGCCUUAACACUUUUAAACAUAUGCUGAAAGAGGGAGCUGUUUACAAGCUCAGUAGGUUUGAUGUUACCUGAGGAAGGUAACUGAACUGAUACCAUUUUAUCUUUGCAUAAUCAGCGAAUAAAACUGGUGUCUGAGACACUACUCUUAUUGACUUUCAAGAGGUAAGAAACUAUCUUUACAUUGCUUCUUCCAUGUUCUUACUUACCCUCAAAAUGAUUUUAGGGAAACUCUAUCCUCUAGCUUCAUCAAGAACGUUUGAAUCUACUGCUUGCUUUAGCCAAAGAAUAUGAUGUCAACAGAGAGCAAGUCUAGAAAUUCAUUAGGCAAUAUCUUGGGGUUGAGGAUGCACCCAGUAAAUCUUUUGUUUUUGUAUUUUGAUUGAUAUUCUUCAAUAUAUUUCUCUAGAUGAACGAACCCUCUUUAGGUGACGAUGGAGAGGUUCAUUCUACAGAUAAUGAGGCUUUAUCUAUUGUUUCCUAUCGCAUUGAGUGGAAUAUGAGACAUGCUCUGAAGCCUACAUAUGAAACUCUCUUUGAGAUGUUAAAAUACUCUUCCUGGAGGGUUGCAUUUUUUGUCCAUCCUAUGUGUUGAUCUUCAUUAGUCAUACUACAGAUGUGGCUUACUCCUGCUUCUUUAAAGCUUGAUCAAAUCACUUGGGAUGAUCAUGAUUCCUUGCUUGAGAAAACUGUUGCUAAUGAGAUAUGUGAAAGUAUUUUCUAUUAUAAUAAUAUCCAAAACAACUUCGGUUUCUUAUCUAACAUUCUCUUAUUUAUAAAGCGGUGCAACAAAUCAGCAACAUCUUCGAUCUUAAAAAAGAUUUGGAAUAGGGCCUCGAUGCUUUGGUUAUUAUCAUCCAUCUAUUCAUGGCGGGGACAACAACCUAGGUGACGAUACGCCAGGAGCCUCAUGUGUGUCCUGCAUCUGCUCAAAAAACCAUAAGCUGUCUGCAACUGAUCAGGCCACCUGCAGUGGUGGCUUCUACUUACUGAAACAACAGGAACUGAGGAAAACACAGUCGGGAGCUCAGCAAAGGAGCCACAUGUUUCAACAACAGAGAGGGAGCUUAAGAAGGAACACAAAGCAUAAAUGCUGAAGAUAGCCAAGUGAAGACUCUUCCACUUUCUCGCAAGCUUUUUUUUCAUUUAGUGUUUUUAAAGAAAAUAUUUAUGGUUCUACUUUCACAUUUCCUAUAUUCUAAAUCAAUAAAAGAAUAUUUCGUCUUAA